AUACUUACCUGGCAGGGGAGAUACCAUGAUCACAAAGGUGGUUUUCCCAGGGCAGGGCUUAUCCAUUGCACUCCGGAUGUACUGGCCCUGUAGUUUCCCCAAAUGUGGGAAACACGACUACAUAGUUUGUGGUAGUGGGGACUGCGUUAAUGCUAUCCCCUU
ensembl:snRNA U1 U1 spliceosomal RNA